GACGAAAGAUCGCUAACAGCUUCC
rnacentral:piRNA from 1 species